rnacentral:lncRNA from 1 species
AAAAAAUAAAAUAAAACAUUAUUUUUCAUUCAAGUCUUAGAUUACUAGAUGUAAGAUCUAAGAUAUAUGAAAAAUAACCUAAUCUGGGGACAAUAAGGAUUUUAAUUUAGUUCCAUGCCAAACACAUAUUAUUUAAGUACAGUCAUUUUUCAUCCAGCCAACAAAUAGUUCCUAUAUAAAGAGUGUCUUGCCAACUUCUGGAGAGUCAAAGGAGAACAGGACAUGGCCUAUGGCCCCCGGAACUGAGUCUAGUGGAGACAGUCAAGUAAAAAGACAAUUCUCUGACCGAAUGAUACUGAUAUUCUGGGGGCACUAAGCACAAGGCACUCUGGGAAAACGUAACAGGGCCCUCUGCCCAUCUAAGUGGGACCAGAGAAGCUAUCUGAUCAUCUUAUCCUUCUGAGACCAUACGUGUAUAAUAGUUACAUUUAAAUUUAGAAGUUGUGCUAUUUAUCGUGACCUAGAAUUAUAAUCACUGGUGCAGUCUUGGGGAUAAGCUUUCGUGAUACAUGUUCAAAAUGGUCCCCAAUAAAUCAGGCUUCUGUGUCAACACUCCCUCUGUGAUGUGUCUAUGCCUUGAAUCCCAGAUUCAAGGGGGAAGUCUAUGUCCCCUCCUCUCCCCUGAAUCUGGGAUGGUCUUGUAACUUCCUUUGACUAAAAUAGUGCCUCAUGGAUGACAUCAUGGGAGUUUCAAGGCCAUCCAUUUAGAGAUCUUACAGCUUUCUCUUUGUCCAGGUAGAACCUAGCAGCCAUAUGAAGGAGUCGAAGCUACCCUGAUGGAAAGAGGCCACAUGGAAGGGAGACCCUGUAGGACAAGCCACCCCAUAUAAAGAGAAAGGUUGCAUGAAAGGAAAGCAGGUGAGCCAGAAGUUUGAGCCAUGUAAGCUAAGGCUUAGGCAGGUGGGAAGGCUGCCUUUGAAACCCCAGCCUGAAUCUAGCAGACACCACAAGGCGCAGAGAACGUGUCCUGUUCAGUUCCCUAUCCCAAAAAUCCUGAGCCAUUGAAUAAUGUUCUUCUUAGGCACUAAGUUUCAGAGUAAUUAGUAAGCCUCUAUUAAUAACUCGCAUGACCCUUCUGUACAUUAACCAGAUCCAAAUGAGCCACUUGACAGUACAAUGCUGCCUUUUAAGGAUCCGAUUAAAGGAACCCUGUUCUUUAUAAGGCCCUUUGACUACUUGGUGGGUUCAUGCCCACCGAGUUAUUAACAACAUAGAUAAAAGAGUUUGCACAUCAUGCCUGGCAGUAAGCUUGUACUGGUACUAAGGGACAUGGAACAUUUUGAGCACUGGGCCAUUUUACUGCCCCAAAAUAGAGUAUAAAUAGUAAAAACAAAACAAAAAAAAUUAAGGAAAUGUUAAUAAGGAAUAUAUUAAAUGAGAGAAAUAAUAAAGGAAAUGUUAAUAAGGAAUAUAUUAAUAAAGGGAAUGUUAAUAAAGGAAAUGUUAAUAAGGAAUAUAUUAGAUGAGAGAAAUAAUAAAGGUUUCAGAGAUUGCAAAGGAUUUACAAAUAAUACAAAGGAAAAUGCUAGUUAUGCAAUAUUUAACAGAAAAUGCUCUGGGACUCAGAGUGAAGGAGGACAGAAGGUCACUCCUGGGCAUCACAUCCCAGUUUUGAAGACGUGUAUAAUGAGAGACACUGGCAAUCUGGAUGCUGAAUAUUUUGUAGUUCUAACUUAACAGCAGAUGUUCAAUGAUUUUAAAGUAGUAUCUGCUCUUUUUGGACAUUUCUUUUAUACUAAGGUUCAGCUAAACAAUUUAUUAAAAGGGGUAUUUAGUAGGUUUUGCUUUUGCUUGUCAGAUUGCUCUGUGUUUUCCUUUCCUGGGUCUAUUUACUCACACAGGAUGAUUUGUAUGGGACUGGCUCUGUAACACAUGCAGAGUGAGGACCAAUAGAUGUGCUCACUCAUGCAUACAGCACAGUACGCCAGGUGCCCCAUGAUGGCACUCAUCAUCUUCAAUGACAUUCCUGGUGUGCUUAGGCUGAUGUCAUUUUGAUUAAUGAAGUAUUUGUUCUCUAUCAGAUAGCAACUUAAAAUAGUGCAUUUUCUGUGACUUAUGAAUGGGAUUUGAAUAUUACCUGUCUAGGUGUUUAGGUGAUUUGUGGCUAUUUUUUUCACUAAGAAAUCACUUAAUAUUUCUUUAAAUAGCAGUGUUAUGGCCCAAUAUUAAUGCUUAUGGAGGAAAAGAAAACAUGGCAACCAUAAAUGGAAUUUAAAUACUUUACUAAAUACUAUUAAAUACUAUUUCCAGAUGUCCAUUUUAGAGUAGAUACUGACAAUACUUUCAAUUCUUGGAUAUUGAGAACUUUAGAAUUAAAAAUUUUAUUAGAUAGUUAUUUGGAUAUUAAGUGCAAAAGUGUAUAAUAAUCACUUCCAUAUUCAGCCACGACUGAGUAACAAAUUCCAUAUUUACCCUCUCAUCUUAAACAAUCUUAAUCAAUGGACCAGAUCUAGGAAAUAAUGGUUUACAGGGAUGAAAAGCAAGCAGCACAGUGCAGUGAGCCCCUGGAGAAGGAAAUCCAAUGAAGACAUCACUACGACUGCCAUGGACUGCUGACCAAAAAGAGGUCCCUAGCCACAAUGCGCAACCUGAUGGAUUCUCCCCUAAGUUGCAAGAAUAUAGUUCCAAGUUUGAGGAGGGCAAGACUGCUAGAAUUUAUAGGGAAAACACCGGAGGAGGACCCUGUAGUGAUGUAGUGUAAGUACCUAACAAUUAGCUUUUCUGAUUGCAAUAUAAGUGCCUGACAUUGAGCUUUUAAUUGCCAAAGCAUCCACUUCAAAGACACACUAUUGAAUAAGCAUAUUUCCAGCUCACAACUAGAUAAAGAACCAGGCCACCCCGCCCACAAAUUUUUCCUUUUAGAGAGCUGUGGAUGACCUAGAUAGCUGGCCUCUUGAGUGGACUGGACCUGCUUUUCUCUUCUUGUGCUUUAAUCCCUGCUGUUAUGUUUGAAAUUUAAAAAUGAAUCCCAAGCCCCUAUGUACCCUAUCCAACCCCAAUAAAGGCUGAACCCCAAGUCUCCACUGUCUCUGUCUCUCUCCCCAGGAUCUUGCUUUAUGGACCCAGGCAUGCUGUGUAUCUUCCAGGUUUGUGAGUAAUAAACCUUGUUCUUCAAAGUCCUCUGAUGGUUGUUGCUGAGGCGUAUCUUGCAAUCAUAAGAAGCAGAAGAGCCAGUCCAGCCAUAGCACUGGUUCUGGGUAGGGAAAUGUUUAUGGAAACUCACCAUGAGGACAGGUGCGAGUGAGUAUUCCUGGGCAUUUCUAGUUCAUAGCAUCACUCUAUCAGCUCUAGACUGAAGUCAUGCAAAGAUGACUUAAAAAUCAAGGUUUAAUGAGAGCAUAGUGACGCCAAGUAACUCAAUUGCAUUCCAGGAAACUGUCCAACAAUCUUGAAAGAAAACAAAAGUAUCUAAACAUAAAGUUUAAGAUGUCUGGCAUCCAAUGAAAAAUGUCCGAACAUGCCGAAAAUAGAAAUUUUAACAGCCCAGGAAGUGAAACAUAUGACAGAAUUGACAUAUGAAGAAAUUAAAACAAUUACAAAUGUAUACCAUUUAUUCAAGAAGGUAAAGGAAAGAGGAGGAGAGAAAUGGAAUAUAUAACUGAGACUCACAUGAGAUUUCAGGAUAUAUAAUUUUUGAAAUAAAAAAAUGAUUACUGGAUGAGAUUAAGAGAACAUUGGACAAUGUCAAAGAAACCAUCAAUGUACUUGAAAACAUAGCAGUAGAAACUAUCUAAAGUGAAUUAUGAACAGAAAAAAAAAGACUGAAAAAUAAAUGAACAAAGCCUCAAUGACCUGUGGGACAAUAUCAAGCAGUAUAGAAUAUGUACAACUGAAGAUCCAGAAAGUGAGGAAAAUCAGAAACAGAACAGAAAAAAAAAUUAUAUAAUUGAAGAAAAUAGAAAAAGGAAAGAAAUAGAACCAAAUUUCACAAAAUUAUAUAACCAUAACUUCAAAACACUCAAUGAAUCUUAAGCCAAGGACCCAUGAAGAAAAUAAGAUUAAAACACAACCCUAUCAAAUUGCUGAAAUCCAGUGAUAAAAAGUACAAGAGUCAGAGUUUGCAGUAUACUCAGGUGACUGUAAGGAUGACAACAGGCUUACCACACAAGCCAGAGACAAUGGAGUCACAUCUGUAAAGUUCUGAAAGAAAAACUGUCAAUGUAGAAUUCCCUACCCAUAAAAAAAAUCUCAGAAAAGAUAAAAUAAAUAUUUAUUAAGACUAACAAAAGGGGAGAUAACUCACUGCCAGCAGACCUACAGAAUUAAGACUCUUUCUGGCACAAGGAAAAGGGAACCAGAUGAAGACUUGAAUCUACAUGAAUGAAUGAAGUGCACCAGAAAUGAAAAAUAUGAGGUUAAAUAUAAAAUCUUUUUUUCUCAGUUUUAAAAUUUCUUUCAAAGAUACAUGGCCAUUUAAAAUAGAAACCAGAAGAUAUUGUGGAGUUUAUACCAUAUAUAGAAAUAAAAUGCAGAGCAACAAUAAUGAAGAAGCUCAGGAGGGAAAAAAACUGAACUUAUUUUUUUGUCAUUAUAUUCUUUUAAAAAUUUUAAAUUUAUUUAUUUGACAGAGAGAGAGAGAGAGUAAGAACACAUGAAUGGGGGGGGAGGGGCAGAGGGAAAGAGAGAAGCAGAACCCCCUGCUGAGCAGGGAGCCCGUUACUGGGCUCAAUCCCAGGACCCUGGGAUCAUGACCUUAGCCAAAAGCUUAACUGACUGAACUACCCCAGGUGCCCCUGUCAUAUUCUUAUAACAUAUAUGACAAGGUAUAAUAUUAGUCGAAGAUACAUUGUAGUCUGUUCAACAGAUAUAUUUAGUUCAUAAAGAAAACACAAAAUAACAAAAUAAUAAAAACAAAUACACAACAACAAAACAGAAUAAGCUUAAAGUAAAGAAUAUAAAACAUUAUGUAGUUAAUAAAUAUAUAUACACCUAAUCCAAAAUAUUGUAAUAAAAGAGGAAAGCACAAAGAAUAAAUGGGACAAACGGAAAACAAAUAGCAAAAUGAUAGAUUUAAACCUAACAUUGUCAAUAAUCACGUUAAGUAAAGACAAUGUAAAUGUUUCAAUUAAAAGGCAGAUAUUGUGAGAUUGCACAAAAAAACAAGACCCAGACAUAUGCUGCAUAAAAGAAAUGUACUUUAAAUCUUAAGUCACACAGAGAUUGGAAGCAAAGAGAUAGUCUAAAAAUAAGCAUGUAAAUAGUACUCAUCAGAAAGCUAGCCUGGCCCCAAACAUUGAUAUACAACUAAUAUAAAAUAAAAUUAAUAAACUUAUUGCAAGAUUGACAAAGUGAUUAAUAGAGGAGACACAAAUUAUUCAAUAUCAGAAAUAAAAAGGGCUAUAUUGCUCAGACCUCCUAGAUAUCAUUAGGAUAGUAAAGGAUUAAUAUGGACAUUAUCAUGCACAUAAAUUCAUGAACUUAAAUGAGUCACUUUCUCAAAGAGCUACAAACUAAUAUUUACCCACAGAAUCCUAUAACUAUUAAAGUACUUGAAUUUACAAUUAAAAACUUUUCCUCAAAAUCCCUAGGCAAUGAUUGUUUAACUGGCAAAUUCUACGAAACCUUUCAGAAAGACAUAACACAAUGCUAUUUCAUAUCUUCCAGAAAACAGAAGAGGAGGAAACAUCUCUGAACUCAUUUUAUAAGUCCGAUAUUAAUUUUAUUCCCAAACCAAAAACAUUACAGGGGGAAAAGUCCCCCAACAAAAUAUUAGCAGGUUGAAUCCAAUGAUAUAUGUUCCAAGAUAAUACACCAUAGCCAAGUGAUAUUUAUCUUGGUUAGGGAAAAAUUGGUUUAACAUGUGAAAAUCAACCGGUGUAAUUUGCCAGAUUUGCAGAGUCUGACAGAAUUAGUGAUGAGACAUGCCAGUCUGAUAUCUUUCCAAGAGAAUCCACUGUGGGUGAUGCAGUUCACUGACCGCCACCACCUGAGAUGACUUCAGAUAACAUUAUAGCAGUAAUGCUGAAGCCACACUGUACUCAGGCUGCUCCCAGCAAAGAUAUCAGAAAGGGAGACAGAACGUAAAGACUGCUAACUCUGGGAAACGAACUAGGGGUGGUGGAAGGGGAGGAGGGCGGGGGGUGGGAGUGAAUGGGUGACGGGCACUGGGGGUUAUUCUGUAUGUUAGUAAAUUGAACACCAAUAAAAAAUAAAUUAAAAAAAAAGAAAUAGGGAUGGGGGCACUAAAUGUGUCAUUUCUGCUAGAUGUAGGACACUUCUGCCAAGCAAUAUUUGUUCUGGGGUUCCUCAUCAGCCUGGCCGAGAAUUUCCCAGAUAUGCACAGCCAUCUGCAGCUCUUUCUACUCCAUCUAUCCAUUCACAGGUGUCAGACUAGCACUGUGGUUUUGAAAGCCUCCCCUCCUCCUCCUGUUAAUGAUGCCCUAUUUCUUUAACAAGCCUUUCCCCUAAUACAUUUUUUUUGCAACUUGCUUCUGUUUUGGCAGCCUCUUAGGAGACCCCAGAAAAACCAUAUGAUCAUCUCAACACAAUGCAAAAAAAAAAAAAAAAA